rnacentral:rRNA from 1 species
UCCUACGGGAGGCAGCAGUGAGGAAUAUUGCGCAAUGGGCGAAAGCCUGACGCAGCAACGCCGCGUGAAUGAUGAAGUUUUUCGGAAUGUAAAGUUUAGUCACCAGAGAUGAUAAUGACAGUAUCUGGAGAGGAAACCCCGGCUAAGUACGUGCCAGCAGCCGCGGUAAGACGUGCGGGGUAAGCGUUAUCCGGAAUCACUGGGCAUAAAGAGUGUGUAGGCGGAAAUGUGUGUCAGGUGUGAAAGGCUUUGGCCUAACCAAAGUAAGCACUUGAAACUGCAUUUCUAGAGGAUAGUAGAGGAAAGCGGAACUUACGGUGUAGCGGUGAAAUGUGUAGAUAUCGUAAGGAACACCAGUUGCGAAGGCUGCUUUCUGGGCUAUUUCUGACGCUAAAGCACGAAAGCGUGGGUAGCGAACGGGAUUAGAUACCCCGGUAGUCCACGCCGUAAACGUUGUUCACUAAGUGUAGGGAGAAUCGAUCCUCUCUGUGCCACAGAUAAUUCUUUAAGUGAACCGCCUGGGAAGUACGACCGCAAGGUUAAAACUCAAAAGGAAUUGACGGGGA